rnacentral:rRNA from 1 species
CCUACGGGUGGCUGCAGUGGGGAAUAUUGGACAAUGGGCGCAAGCCUGAUCCAGCCAUGCCGCGUGAGUGAUGAAGGCCUUAGGGUUGUAAAGCUCUUUCACCCACGACGAUAAUGACGGUAGUGGGAGAAGAAGCCCCGGCUAACUUCGUGCCAGCAGCCGCGGUAAUACGAAGGGGGCUAGCGUUGUUCGGAUUUACUGGGCGUAAAGCGUACGUAGGCGGACCGUUAAGUCGGAGGUGAAAUCCUGGGGCUCAACCCCAGAACUGCCUUCGAUACUGGCGGUCUCGAGUCCGGAAGAGGUGAGUGGAACUGCCAGUGUAGAGGUGAAAUUCGUAGAUAUUGGCAAGAACACCAGUGGCGAAGGCGGCUCACUGGUCCGGUACUGACGCUGAGGUACGAAAGCGUGGGGAGCAAACAGGAUUAGAUACCCUUGUAGUC